rnacentral:rRNA from 1 species
UACGCAGGGUGCGAGCGUUAAUCGGAAUUACUGGGCGUAAAGCGUGCGCAGGCGGUUCGUCGUGUCCGAUGUGAAAGCCCCGGGCUCAACCUGGGAAUGGCAUUGGAAACUGGCGGACUCGAGUGUGGCAGAGGGGGGUGGAAUUCCGCGUGUAGCAGUGAAAUGCGUAGAGAUGCGGAGGAACACCGAUGGCGAAGGCAGCCCCCUGGGCUAACACUGACGCUCAGGCACGAAAGCGUGGGGAGCAAACAGG